rnacentral:rRNA from 1 species
UCUUGCGCAAUGGCCGAAAGGCUGACGCAGCGACGCCGCGUGCGGGAGGAAGCCCUUCGGGUUGUAAAGGGCUUUUCUGGCUGACGAGGAAGGACGGUAGGCCAGGAAUAAGCGUCGGCUAACUACGUGCCAGCAGCCGCGGUAAAACGUAGGACGCGAGCGUUAUCCGGAUUUACUGGGCGUAAAGCGCGGGCAGGCGGUGGUCCAAGUCGGACGUGAAAGCUCCCGGCUCAACUGGGAGAGGUCGUUCGAAACUGGGCCGCUAGAGGGCAGUAGAGGGGCGUGGAAUUCCGGGUGGAGUGGUGAAAUGCGUAGAGAUCCGGAGGAACACCAGAGGCGAAGGCGGCGCCCUGGGCUGCACCUGACGCUGAGCCGCGAAAGCUAGGGGAGC